CUUUGAAUUUAGCUUCUUCAUCAUCAACUUUAGGGCUUGUCUUUGCAAUACCUUCGUUUACAAGCUUCUCAGCAGUAUUCACUUUAUCCCCAGCUGCAAAAUAAAUUCAAAAGAAUUAUUAUUACAUAAUUUACAGACAUAAUAUUUCUAUGAUAAUUAUAAACUUGAAUAUGUCUACAUGUGGGAGUAUGAGCUAGUAAUAUGAAGCAUGCACAAACCUGAAACUUGAGUUGUUGGUAGAGCUGAAGUAGCAUAAAAGAAAGUGACAAUAAGCAACAAGUGCAUAAGUGCAGAUGGCUUUCCCAUUGAGAAAACAAGGUAAGGUAUGACAAUUAUGAUAGGGGAAUGAAUACCUCAAAGCCUGAGUUUCAAUAUUACAUUUACUCUUAUUUAUAAUAGAAAUACCCACCUACCUUGGAAUCUUCAAAUUAAUUAUACCACUGUUUGUUUUUGAGAUAUUUUUUAGUGAACAAAUGUAUUUCUUAACUUAAGACUUUUCUUCUUCUCUAUUGUAUGCCAUCUAAUAACCAACUCAUAAAUAAACCCUACUUAAGUUCAUUUGUGAGCUGAGUUUUUUUUAAAUGAAAGAGAAAAUUUGAAAGUUAUGAAAUACACUUAUGAGAUAGAUCUGAAGUCCUCUCUUGCCUUUGUUUUCCUCAAAAACUCAACUCGCAAACACACCCUAAAGUUAUGUUUGCAAGUUAGAUUUUGGAGGGGAGAGAAGAGAAAUAGAAAGCUUUAGAAUCAUUUCAUAAUUGUAUUUUAUGAUUUACAAACCUUCGCUUUCCCUUCUUUCCCUUACAAAACUCAAAUCGCAGAUGAAAUCUAAAGGUUUGUUUGCGAAUUGAGUUUCGGAAGAGAAUAUAAGACUUCAACCCUAUCUCACAAGUUUCAUGAUGUUGGAAUCUUGUCUUUCUCUUGUUUUCCCUCCAAAAUCUAACUCGUUGUUUUGUGAGCUAGGGUUUGAAAGGGAAUAAAAGGAAAAAUAAAACUUCAGAAUUAUCUCAUAAAUUGUUUCAUGACUUUGAAACUUUCUUUUUCACUCACUUCCCUCCAAAGUCUAACUCGUAAAGAGACCAUACUCACUAAUGAUGUUAAAAUUACAUUAAUGGCCAUUGCGUGAGUAUUGAGCAACAAAGUCAGUUGCAAAUUAGAAUUGCUAUUUUCUAUCUCUCUCUAAAUGCAUUCCAACUAACUAAUUGUAUUGGUAUCUAAAAUUACAAGCUUAGUGUAUUCACAUUUAAUUUAUUGCACAUAGCUAGGCCACUUAAAGUACUUUUAAUCACAAGCUAUAGCUAUUAUAAAUAACACUAGAUUAUUGGAGUAAAGCAACUCAUGCAAGCUUUUUUCUUUUCAGCUUUUACAGUGUUGCCAUACCUUGGUGUGGCCUAGUUGUUUUCUCAAUGACAAAGGUUUCCAGUUUGCAAUAUGCAUAGUACAUUUCUGUGGUCCGCUCUUGCUUGUUGUGAGUUUCUUUUACGCUAAUUCUGCUGCAGCAACAUAAAUUUCAGGUUGGUGAUUAUUCUGACACUCACUGAUACCAUUUUUGUUCAUUUUUAUAACUUAUGUUUUGACCUUUUGUGCAAUUAUUAUUCAGGAAAUGAAGAAUUGUCGAAGACAAGCUUAGAAGUUCAUGAUGAAGAAGCAAAGUUCAAAUGAAUUUUUCAUAUAAAACCAUUAGUCAAGAAGCCAUUUUUCAAGAAACCCAUUUCAGUUGUUAAGCCUAUACCAAAGCCAUAUCCACUAGUGAAAAAAAAUAUUUCUAUUCAAAGUUCUAAUUCAACAGCGCGUAUUUUAGAUGUAUAAUAGUGUUUUCAUGCGCUUUCUAUUUGAUCACAGUAGAUAUUAUCAUGAUUAACAACGCUUCUCAAACGCUGUUGUAUUGAUAUAUACCACAACACAUCAUAUAAAAAGCGUUGUCAUUUAUUGCAUAAAUACAAUAGUGCUUCUUUCACACAAUGCUGUCAUAUAUGUCUUACAUAAACAACGAAUGUUAUAGGUAUUAUUAACAACGCUUAUUGUUGCGCUGUUGCAUUACAUAUAUAUAUAACAACACAUUAAAUAUUCUCAAACAACAACUUAAUACAACCGCGCAACACACACGUAACGUUGUUGUUGUAUUAAGCAUGUCUAUAAAAAGCGCUCUUGUAUUAAUCAUUUACAACAGCGCAUGUCAGGGUUUCCCCUAGAAUUCGUUUGUUGAUUUAUAGAAAUUAAUAUUUGCAUAUACAUCUAUUAGCAGCACAAACAUUCUUAAUAGCACAUACAUUUAUACAUUCUCAACAAUACAAACAAAUUAAUACAUAUGAGAAGUUUGUUUUAUUAACAUCAAUACAAUAUAAUACAAACUACAAACAAUGAAUAUCAUGACAAUUAUAUUUUGACAAAGUACAUAAUUACAACAAAAAAUAUGCAAAUUAGAAAGAAACAAAAUUAUACAAAUUACAAACAAUCAAAAUUAAGUUAUAAUUAUACAAAGACUACUUGUAUCUACUUUUUCCUUUUCUUUGAUUGUUUUUGGCUUGUACGUUCAUCAUUGUUUAGAAGAAUAUAUUGAUUCACCCAGAACCCUUCAUCGUGAUCAUCUCUUGUAUAUAAAUCAUCUUUCGUAGUUGGUCCGCUCUCACACGACUCAUGUAUCCCAAAAAGGAUCACCUUCAUCAAUAUCUUCAUAUUUUUGGUCAUCAAUAUUAUUGAUGAUUAUUUUGUUAGUUAAAAGAAUAAUGAACCAUUUCAUAUCAGCUGUGUCACUAUCAUAGAAUAUUUGUUGAGCUUGUGAUGCUAUAAUAAAUGACUCAUCUUUAUAUCCCGAUCUGUUAAGAUCCAACUACAUGAACCCUAAUUCAUUAACUCAGAAAUCAUUGUUGUUAUCAAUCCACACACAAUAAAAAACCGGCAUCUGAAAUAUUGUGUACUCCAAUUCCCAUAUUUGUUCAAUCACACCAAAGUAUGACAUGUUCGCAUAUAUUGAGUUUAUAUCUUUUGUACUUGACAUGUGUAAAGUUCGAGCAACAAGAGUCACACCACUAUUUUGUAUUGUACUUUGAUCAUCUUUUUUUCCGUAUAAAAUGUGAACUCAUCAAUUAUGUAACUAGUAUAAGAUAAGACAUGAAUACUUGAAUCAUUAGCUAACCAUUUCAAUAUUUCAGAAACUGAAUGUGCAUUAAUAUUCAACUCCUCAUUAAUGUGAUUUUUAGCCACUUUAUGAAACACCGAUUAUGCUAUUUGGAAAUCCAAUUUUCAUUCUUACUUGGGUAAGACUUCCUUAGCAUCUCCUUGUGUAUUUCAACAUAUGAAUCAACCUCGUCGGCAUCAUGUAAAACAUAUAAGCGUGCUUACUCCAAUACGGUUAUUUUUAUAGUCAAUAUUUCAUUCCUAGUAAUACCUCCACCAAAUGCUUUUUUGCAUAUCGAGGCUUUGGAAUGCCCAUGAAAUCCCCAUCGGUGACGUAUUCGAUACAAAAAUCAAGAGUUUCUUCAACAACAUAUCGCUCAACAAUACAACCCUCUGGUCUUGAUCGGUUCUUCGCAUACCCUUUUAUUGUCUUCAUAUAACACCAAUACAACUCUUUGGUGUUGAUCGAUUCUUCACAUACCUUUUUAAUGUCUUCAUAUAACGCUCAAAGGGUACAUCUAUCUUAUAUAGGUAGGGCCACAUAGUUGUGUAUCUCGAACAAGAUGAAUGCUUAGAUGAAUCAUUAUGUUAAAAAAAGAACGUAGGAAAUACAUUUCAAGCUCACACAAAUAUAUGCAUGUCUCCCACAUUUGCUUGAAGUAUUCAAUUAAUGAAGCCAAAUAUAUAUAUAUAUAAAUAAAUGUCAUUUCCUGGUUGUUUAGGUCCAGAAACUAAUAUAGAUAACAUCAUAUUUGUGCUUCAUACAUAGAGAAGGAGGUAUGUUGUAUAUCACCAACAUCACUAGUCAUGUAAUGUGGGAGAAACUUUGAACACUAUGUGAGUUAAUUCCAUAUGUUGAUAAUGUAAGACAUAAAUUUCUUGAUUCUUGACCAAAACUAGGAUAAUCAUGAUCAAAAUUUCACCAUUAAGGAGAAUCUGCAAGAUGCCGAAACUUGUUAUUUUUAAUCCUUUCUUUAUCAUGUCAUGUCAACUUCUUUGCAUCAUUAGUAUUGCUAAACAUAUGUUGAAUCUUGAUUUGAUGAAAAAUACCAUACAACCUUUUUGGUAAUUGAGUCUUCCUUCUUAUAUCGUGAUGCAUUAUAUUUAGGACAAAACUUUAAUGAAAAAUAUUCAUGAAAAAAUAAGAUGCAAUCAUUUUCACAAGCAUGUAUCCUAGUGUAAUUCAUGUCAAUGGAGCGUAACAUUUGUUUUGCAUCAUAGCUUCGAGAAGAGAGUACAUUAUCCUCCAGCAACAUAUCCUUCAAAAUUGCAAGCAAGUCGGUGAAACUCUUAUCAGUCCAUUAAUUAAUAGAUUUCAACUUAUACAACCUUGACACCGCUGCCAAUCUUGUGAAUUUAGUACAACCAUCAUAUAUUGGUUUCUUAGCAUCACUUAUCAACCGCUGAAACAUCUCAGGACAAUCCUAAAGACCCUAUUUGAUAGUGUUUGCCAUUUCCUCGAAACGAUCGUCUUCAUAUGCAUUUGUGUAGUUUUAUUUCAUAUACAACUCAUCAUCACAGUCCAUAAUGUCUCUCUUCUCACCAUGUCUUGUCGAACAUGUGUAACUUUGAUCAAUACCGUGACACACUAAAUGAACUUUUAACUCAUUUGGAGUAAUUCGGCAAUGCCUCCUUUUCUUUUAGGACAACCUGAUAAAUCAAGAAAAAACAUAAUGUUAAUUAAUCAUAUUUUGAUAAAUAAUGUAUGGAAAUUAAAUAUAAUUAAAAAAAUGAGCACUUAUAACACGUUUUUCCGCUUCUUGAACUUGCUCAUUGUCGAUGACUUCAUCCUUGUUCUUACGGGCAUCAACACAUAGAACAUAACCGAUAAUGUAAUUAUAUAUAUAUGCAUACAAAACAUAACCAAUAAUGUACUUACAUAUUAAUAAUACUUACAAUUUUUUCUUCGAUUCCUCUAUACCCCGCUCGAGAAGCCCUCUAGCAGUUUUCAUUACUUACUUUCUGCAAAAACAAACAACAUUAACAUCAACAAUCAUAUAUAUGUAUAUAAAAAACAUAUAUAAGAAUAAAGUCAAUACACAGAAUAUGAUUUUACGAAGAAAGACUCGUCUUGUAUGUAAUAGGGUGACAAAAAUCUUCCAAUCCUCAUCUUCAACGACAUUUACAUAUUUCUUUGGAGGUUUUAGGUUGACAUUCCACCAGCAUCUCUGAUACAUUUUCCGGUAUCGGUUCUAAAUUGUCGGAGAGCCUUGUCAUCAGAUUUAUUGAUAUAAUCUUUAUACUCCUCACCAACAUCAAAAGUUGACUGAAAUUAAAACACAUAUAUAUUAUAUUGCAUGCCAACAUAUGAAUAUAUGUACUUGCAUGCAAACACAUAUACGUACAUUGCAUCAAAACGCAAAAACAUACACUGAAAAGUAAACUUACAGUUAUUUCAUUCCAAAUACGUUCCUUCACGAUAUUCAACCUAAAAUCAGUAUAUUUGUUGAAUGUUAGCGACACAUUUUGCCUAACCACGACCCUAAUAAUAUAGCUUACCAAUGAGUUGUCACCAUUCGAGUUUAAUGUUUGGCCUUUUGAGUUUCAUUGAACUUCUAUCUUCACAUCCUUAUUUCUUGUCCGAAUGACAUUUUUAUGGAAGUCAUUCCACAUGGAGUUCGUUUUUUUAGCAAUGAUUUGCUUGUCUUGUGGAUUCGGUGUAGAUUCGUCACCAUUGUGAGAACCAUGAUCACCAUUUGGGGAAGCAAUUGAUGAAGUUUUGUUUUAGGGUUUAUGAGAGUAUGUGGGUUUAUGAGAGUAUGAGGUUUUUUUCCGAGUAUGUUUGAGAGCGUAGAGGGAACUGAAUAAUAUUUUAGAUAUUUAAACUGUAAUAACAAUUCAACAACGCUAUUUACAUAAAUCACUAUUAAUAUGACCUCUUCAACAACGCAAAAUAAAGGAUGCAUUGUUGUUAUUGCAUCUUCCAUAACGCAUCCUUGAAAAAGUGUUGUUAUCAAGUGUGAAUCCAGCUGUUGACUGCUUAUUUUCAUAGACACAUAUUCUACAACGUUUCCUUGAUGGUGUGUUGUUGAACAUAAUCCAAUUGACAACACUAUCUCAACUAUGUGUUGUUGAAUAGAAUCUAAUUGACAACGCAAUCUUAAUUAUGCGUUGUUAAACUUAAUUCAUUUCCCAAAUUAACAACAUAUCCCUAAUUUUGCGCUGUUAAAUGAACAUAUUACAUUACAGGUCAAAAUGCAACAUGAAAAUAAGUUAAUUAACAUGAAGUUGUCAUGAAGUAAAUUACCAUGUGUUUAUUAAUAUGAAACUAGAAAAAUAUUAAACAUUAAGUUUUUUUAUAAUUUGUUUAUUAUGUUUUGUUAAUUUGCUUAAUGUGUUUAUUAAUAUAUGGAACUUAAAAAAUAUUAAACAUUAAUAACUUUUCAAAUAAGUCACAAAAAAAUAGAAAUUAACAUCCAAAAUAAUUGUUCAUUCUUCAUUCAAAGAGUCAAAAUAUAUUCUAAUGAACUAAAUGAUUUGGUAGAAGACAAUAUAAUGAAAUAAAUGAUGUAGUAUUUUACAAUGAACCAAUGAAGCAAAUUAAUGAACUAAAUGAUUUAGUAGAUUACAACGAAGGAAAUUAAUGAACUGAAUGAUUUGGUAGAUGAAUGAACUUAAUGAUUUUCAAAUUAAUUUUUCAUCUCACGUAAAUCUUGUAUAACAACCACUUUCCUUUUGAAAUUUGGGUCAUUUUGCAAAAUAAAAAAUUGUUAAAGACCUUGUUGACAUGAUUCUGAUAUAGGGUUCCCGACAAUACAACUUUAGCACUUUUAACACUUCGAGUUGUUGAGAUCUAUUGUCUGUCUUUUUUCUAUUCCUUUUAACAAAACUUACGUUUUUCUUUUUAUCUUGUAUUGCUCUCUUUUUUCCUAUCUUCAUCGCUUUGGAUGCCAUGACAAUAUGAAUGAGACAAAAGAAAAUAUACAAAGCAGAAAAAAAUAAUAUAUAGAAACACGUACUCUUAAUGAUGAACUAGAACAUGGAGUGAACCACAAUUUAUAGAUGUGCAACCAUUAAUAUUUGAAGAAACAAAGAGACGCAUAACCGCUUAACCAUUAAUAUUUCUAGAAAUGAAGAGACAUAUAAUCACUCAACCAUUAAUAUUUCAAGAAACGAAGAGAUACAUAAUCACUUAACCAUUAAUAUCCUUGAUACUUAAAAAGUCGUAUACAAUCAACAACGCAUAAUUAAGAAAGCGUUGUUACUAUGUCAUCUUCAACACCACUUAUUCAAUGUUGCGUUGUGGAAUUGAUGAACAUUAACAAUGCUUCCUAUCACAUAUGUUGUUAUACAUAACUCAUUCAAGUCAACGCUAACGUUAAUGAUGUUCAACAUCGCUGUUGAAGUUACUCACAUUGACAAUGCUUGUUUUAGUAUGGGAUGUCGAUGUUCUUCCACCUCGUUUUCAACAACGACAUUCAAAAUUGUGCUAUUGAAUGAUCAUUGUUAAUUACGAUAUAUGGCGUAAUGUAUUCUAUUUAAUAAACCUAUAUCAAAGUCAUUCCCCAUUGUUAAGCCUAUAUCAUAGUCAUUUGGAGUGAAAAAACCUAUCUUUAUUCUAGUUUUUAAGCCAAUUCCUAUUGUUAAGUCCAUUCCAAUUGUUAACCCAAUUACAAAGCUCAUUCCUAUUGUUAAGCAUAUUCCUAUUGUGAAGCUUAUCCCUGUUCCAACUUAUAAGCCGAUACUAAAACCAUUAAUAGUGAAAAAACCUAACCUAUUCUUGUGUUUAAGAAACCAUUCCAUAAACCAUUUUCUAUUCCUAAAAAGCCAUUCUUCCCUCCACUUAUUCCCUCUGUUUUUUUAUAAGUAAAAUUGUAUUAAAAAGAAGGUACUAAAGGUAUGAGAUUUACAAGGAAAAGUCAAAUAAUCACAUAAUUACAACAAGAGCUUUUAGGAGCAAUAAGAGUUUAAACAUUCACAUGGAUUACAGAUCCAUUCGAUGUAUUACAUUAUUGUGUGUUUACUUUUGUCUCGAAUCUAAAGUCAUGCUUUCACAUUUGCAGUAUCUACAAUUUGUUAGAAGGGGACCUUGUUGUUGUUGAAUAUGAUGUCAUUCCUUGCUAGCCAGAUUGACCAUAUCAUGGAUAGUCAUAUGAUGCUCUAGAACUUCCUACUCUUUUUAUUGGUAGAUAGACCCAUAUGCAUCAUGAAGUGUCUUCUCAUAUCUUAUGGAAGUGUAAUAUCAAACCCCAAAUCUUUGUAUAUCAUCUUCCAAAGUUGGUAAGUAAUACUGCAUGUUGACAAUAAAUGUUGAGAAGUUUCCAGUUCUUUGUCGCAUAACUUGCAAGUGGUAGCUCCUUGUAGUUGUGAAAUCCUCAAAUAAGCAAAGUGUCCAUGGUGGAUAUUCUGUCUUGGCCUUUAGAGGUGAUUUGGACUGCCAUAAGAGUUUGUAAAUGUUUUGAUGAUGAUAUGUUGAUUUAACAGUAUAUUAGCUCGACUUGUCAUGAAUCCACAACCAACAAUCUUUUGCAUCUCUCUUCAUGGUAGUUUGUUGUAAGACAUGCAUAAGAUUAUCAGUUAGUUCAAAUUACCAAACAAAAAGUUAUCUUCGCCAAGAAAGAGACUAUUCCCAAUUUUCAUUCGACCAAUGUCCCAAAUCUCUUAUAUUUGCAUCCCAAUCUGGUGUUAAAUUAUAACAUAUUUGUAAAUGGAGUAAAAAACUAAACAUAUAAUGUUAGAAGAUAAGUGAAUUUAUGUUUUUUGGUACUAUUAUCUAGAACUAAAUUUUAACUUUAAUUAGAAUUCAAUUAUUAAUGUAUUAUGUUGUCAAUAUUUGAUUGAUUAUCUUUACAUAGAUAUGUCUUCACACAAUCUUUAUUCCUCACACAACAAGCCUUUUUGUACCGUAAUAACUUAGAUUAAUCAGUUCUAUGAGAUGAUAUCUACAUAGUUAUGAUUAAACUACCACGUAACGAUCAAUAAGAUCAAUUGUUUCCAAAUUGCAUCCUCAACCUUAUCUCAUCCAAUCAUAUUUUGACAUUUAUCAAAAAGAAAAAUUAAGUAGUGGAAAAUAAAUUUUAAAUUGCAUGUUAUUAUUUUUUUAUUAUAUAUCAAAAUCUAUUAGAGAAUACUUGAGUGAAGUUGUUAUGCUACUAGUUUCAGUCUAACUGAUUUUGUUAUCAGUUUAGUUAGUAUGUUAAGUAGUUUCCCUUUGUAUAAAUAGGACUUGGAUCUAUUGUUGUGUUCAAUGAAUUCAUUCUAAUAAAAUACAAAAUCUGAUUUCAUCUUUUCUCUUUGUUUCCUUCCUUUUCUUGCUAACUUUACAUGGUAUCAUGUCACCUAUGACCUUCGUCUCCGAUCCUGAUCCUCAUGGUGAUUCUUCUCCUCCUCCUCCUCCUCCUGCCGCUGCUGCUACGUCGUUUCAAUCUUCGUCCACACCCGCUGCUGCGUCGCUACAAGCUUCGUCUCCAUUACUGAAUCUUCCAUUGCCGGCAAUGAAACUUACCGACAAGAACUUCCUAGUGUGGAGUCAAUUUGUUCUUGCUGUUCUACGCUCUAAUCGGUUUCAACGAUUUAUUUCAUAUCUUGAUCUUCCUCCUCAAUUUCUCACUGAUUUGGAUCAUCUUCAUAAUCAUGUUAAUCCUGCCUAUUUGAGUUGGGAUGAACAAGAUCAAUUAAUUUUGUCUUGGAUUCUCAAUUCUCUCUUUGAGGAACUUCAACCAUGAGUUAUCGGUUGUUCUACCUCGCGACAAUUGUGGCUGGAAAUUGUGGAUCACUGUCAAGCACAAACAAAAGCUCACGGUAGAUAGUUACGUUCUCAACUCAAAUCUAUCACAAAAUGAUCAAAUUCCAUUUUUGAAUAUUUUACUCGGAUUAAGGUGCUUGUUGAUUUGUUAAGUUCUAUUGGCUCUCCUAUUUCUCAAGCGGAGCAUAUUGAUUUCGUUCUUGAUGGAUUACCGAAAAAAUUUCAUCCUGUUAUUACGGUUGUGAAAAGUCACUUGGAUCUUCCAACAGUGAAUGCUCUUCAAUCUUUUCUUCUUACUUUUGAAGCGUGAUUAGAACGUCAUCGUAGUCAGUCAAUCUCGGAUGCAUUAUCGGUUAAUGUUGAUGUUGCUUCACCAAUGAGCUUGUCGGAAACUAUUUCCUCCGGAUAUCUGUUUCCUCCUACGGUGUCAUUGCCCUUCCCUCAACCUCAUUCUGCUAUGGUUAGGGCAUCUGCUCAAGGUUUUGGAGGGCCUCGUGGUGGUUUUCGUGGAUUUAGAGGUGGUUCCUGUGGUUACAGAGGCUUACGUGGUGGUGGAGGUCGUUUCUCUUCCAAGAACAAUUACUUUUGCACCUUUUGCAACAGGUAUGGUCAUGACCUCACCUUUUGCUACUAUGCACCCCCAAAUUUUGGCACACCUUACUCCCAACACUAUGGUACACCUUCAUCUACUAGAUAUCCAUCAAGUAUGCCACGUCAGCAAUUUAAUCCUAGUCAGAAUUUUAAUCCCAGUCAGCAGCCUCAUCAUACUUUUUAUUCUAGUCAGCAGUGGGCACCUCAUUCCUACAUGGAUCCAACUUAUCCAUUUAACCCUCAUUCAAUGUUUGCAUUGCCUCCGUCUUCCAAACUUGACCAUGAACUCUCUUCUUCUCAUCCCCAUGGCUUACAUCCUCAUACCAUGACUGCCAUCUCAACUGUUAAUGUUUCUGCUAAGCCAUCAACCUCUGUUUGGUAUCCGGAUUCGGGUGCUACUCAUCAUCUCACUCCUGAUCCAAUAUUAAUUCAAGAACCAUGUGAGAAGUUCAGUGCAGAUCAGAUUUAUAUAGGUAAUGGCACUAGUAUUGGUAUUAAGGCUUCUAACUGUUAAAUUUUGUUCUCCCACUUGUCCUAAUGUUGUGUUUUUUCUUAAUAUUGUUUUACUUGUUCCUUCCAUUACCAAGAAUCUUCUCAGUGUUUCUCAGUUUUCCAAAGACAAUUCAUGUUAUUUUGAAUUUCAUUCUAACUAUUGUCUUGUAAAAUGUCAAGGUUCUGAUCACAUUUUGCUGAGAGGAACUCUUACAUCGGAGGGACUCUAUGCCUUCUAUGAUCUUCGGCCUCUUCAUCUUGCUAAGCCUUCAUCCUCUUUACCUAAGCAUAAUAACACUGUCAAAUCUAGUUUACCUAAGAUUUACAAUUCUAGUGCUACUGAUUCUAAUAGUCAUGGUUCUUCAUAUUUUCUAUGGCAUUGUCGCUUAGGCAUGUUCAUGAACGUGUUGUUACUUAUGUAUUGAAUCAAUGUAAUGUUUCUCGUAUGAAUAAAAUUGUUCUUGAUUUUUGUUCAUCUUGUGUACUUGGUAAAUCUCAUAGGCUCCAUGCUACUACUUCCACUUCUGUUUAUACUAUUCCUUUUGAACUUCUGUAUCUAGAUUUGUGGGGACCUGCUCCAAUGGACUCGAUAACAGGAUUUAGAUAUUAUUUUUCUAUAAAUGAUGCUUCCACUAGACACACUUGGAUAUUUCUGCUUAAACAAAAGUCAGACACCUUAUCUAUGUUUAAGCAUUUUGUUACAAUGGUACAAAUUCAGUUUCAUCAUUCUGUUAAAUUUGUAUAGGGUGAUCAGGGGGUGAGUUUAGGUCUUUUCCCUUUUAUUUGUAGUCCCUGGGCAUAAUUCAUAGAGUCAUAUGUCCUCGUACUUAUCAUCAAAAUGGUACAGUGGAACGUAAACAUGGGCAUAUUGUUGACACUAGUCUUACUGUUCUUGCCCAUGCUUGUUUGCCAAUGAUUUUUUGGAAUCAUGUUUUUCUCACAGCAGUUUAUCUCAUUAAUAGACUUCCCUCUCCUUUGUUGUCAAAUAAGUCACCUCAUAAGCUUUUGUUUGAUAAGGAUCCUGACUAUUCUUCUCUAAAUGUUUUUGGAUGUUCUUGCUUUCCUCAUCUUAGACCUUACAAUAAGCACAAGUUGAAGUUUCAGUCUUCUGAGUGUAUUUUCCUUAGUUAUUCCACUUCCCACAAAGUUUACAAGUGUCUUUCAAAAGAAGGUAAACUUUUCAUCUCCAAAGAUGUUAUUUUCAAUGAGUAUUCAUUUCCUUAUGCUUCCUCCACUAAUACUGGUUCUACUUCUAAGUCUCCUCCCUCAUGUCCACUUGCCACUUAUGUGUUUCCUAUCACUAGUGAGUCUGUCAUGCCUGUUAAUCAUUCUCCACCCGUUGCUCCCAUAUCUCCUAAUGUUCCAAUCAUUUCUAGUGAUCCUCAUUCUCAUAACGUCUCUCCUAUUGUUCCUAUCAUUUCUAGUGAUCCUCUUUUUCCCAUUCUUGUGUCUUUUGGUAUUUCACCUCUUGGUCCAUCCACCUCAUUGGACUCUGGGUCUCCUGGUGUGGUGUCUUCCAACAGUCCACCUGUUGUUUCCAAGUCUCAAUCUGUCCAUCCAAUGCAAACUAGAUCCAAGUCAAGUAUUUCUAAACGGAUUGUUCCUCGAUCCUUUCUCACUCAUGUUGAACCUUCUAAUGUCACAAUUGCCUUAACAAUACCCAUUUGGAAGGAUGCGAUGACUGCUGAAUAUGAUGUUUUAAUGAAGUUAGGCACUUGGUCUCUUACUUCCCUUCCUCAUGGAAAGCAAGCCAUUGGCUGUAAAUGGGUGUUUAUAGUAAAAAAAAACCCAGAUGGCUCAAUAAACAAGUAUAAAUCUAGGUUGAUUGCUAAGGGAUUUCAUCAAAAAUUUGGUGUGGAUUAUACAAAAACCUUUUCACAUGUGGUCAAGCCUGUCACUAUUUGGAUUCUGUUGACCUUGGCUUUGACCUAUCACUGGCCUAUUAAGAAAUUAGAUGUCAAUAACGCCUUCCUGAAUGGGGACCUCACUCAAGAAGUAUAUAUGCAACAACCUCUUGGUUUUAAACAUUCUGACAAGAACUUAGUUUGCAAGCUUCACAAGGCUAUUUAUGGCCUCAAGCAAGCACCAAGGCAAUGGUUUGACAAACUCAAGCACACCUUGGUUUCUUUUGGUUUCUCUAUCAGUAGGUGUGACAACUCUCUCUUUAUCCUUCAUACUUCCACCUAAAAGAUUUACGUUCUAGUUCAUGUUGAUGACAUUAUAGUCACUGGAUCUUCUUUAGUUCAGGUCAAAAAGGUUAUUGAUCAACUUAGUUCUGUUUUUGCCCUCAAGUAGUUGGGAAUUCUUGACUAUUUUCUUUUAAUUGAAGUAAAGUCAUUACCCAAUGGCUCCUUAUUUCUAUCUCAAUCCAAGUAUAUAAGGGAUUUAUUGGAAAGAGCUAAUAUGAGCUCUGCUAAGGCCAUUGCCUCCCCUAUGGCUCACACCACCAAGCUAACUAAAGAAGGAGCAAACUAAUUUGAACAACCUUCUUUGUACAGGUUUAUAGUUGGUGCUUUACAAUAUACCACUGUUACAAGACCAGACAUUGCAUAUUCUGUCAAUAAAGUUUGUCAAUCUCUGUCUACACCACUUGAGGAACAUUGGUCAGAUGUGAAAAGAAUUCUUCGGUAUCUAAUUGGGACUGUCACUCAUGGAAUUCUUCUCCAACCUGUUUCACCAGCUUCUCCUCUUCCUCUCACUGGUUUCUGUGAUGCUGACUGGGCAUUUGAUUGUGAUGAUAGAAAAUCUACAUCUAGAGCUUGCUUGUUUCUAGGGAAUAACCUUAUCACUUGGUGGUCAAAGAAGCAAACUACUAUUUCCAGAUCCAGCACUGAGGCAGAAUAUAGAAGCCUAACUCUUAUAGCUCAAGAGUUUCAAUGGGUGCAAUCGCUUCUUCAAGAACUUAAAUUUAGUCACACUACUCCUCUCUUGUUGUGUGAGAACCUGAGCAUUGUUGCUCUUGCUCAUAAUCAUGUUCUUCAUCAAAGAACAAAGCACAUAGAACUUGAUCUAUUUUUUGUUCGAGAUAAAGUUCAGUCUAAGUCUUUAUUAGUGAAGCAUAUUCCUGCAAAUUUUCAGACUGCCGACAUCCUCACAAAGCCUCUGUCUUCAUCUCGUUUCAGUUAUCUCAGGAAUAAGCUUCAAGUUUUUGAUUUCCAUGAUGUUCAAUCCCACCGUCAGUUUCAAGGGGGAAUAUUAGAGAAUACUUGAGUGAAGUUGUUAUGCUAUUAGUUUCAGUCUAAUUGAUUCUGUUAUCAAUUUAAUUAGUUUGUUAAGUAGCUUCCAUUUGUAUAAAUAGGACUUGGAUCUAUUGUUGUAUGCAACGAAUUCAUUCUAAUAAAAUAUAAAAUCUGAUUUCAUCGUUUCUCUCUAUUUCCCUUCUUUUCUUGCUAACUUUACAAAAUCUAAUUGAAUACUAUAUAUUAUUUUUUAUUAUAUAUAAUAUAAUAAAGUCUAAUUGAAUAUUAUUUUUUGUUAUAUAUCAAAACUAAGUAGUGGAGACACAAUUUGAAGACAAUUGAUCUCAAUUAGUUUGAUACCAUUUGCUUUUGGAGUUUUAGCUAGUAAAGUUGGCAAGUGUCUCAAGUGUCAAAUGAAAAAAACCUAUAUGGAGAUGGUCUUGACAUUGACAUGUAGGCUCGUUGUGGGGGAAAAUUGAUUCCGUAAUUCAAUUAUAUGAAAUUAAGAAUAAAUUGAGAAUUUAAAAUAAAAUGUGAUUGAAUAGCAUCUAUUUUAAUCUUCUUUUUUUAUAAUCAAAUAUUAAAAUGUUAAUAUUUUGUUGUGAAUGAAACUCAAACUUACAACCUCAUAAAUUACAUUUCUUAAACCUUUUAUAUUAAACCAUUAGACUACUUUACGACUCCAUAAAAUUCCUCUUCCUUAAUAGUAUUGUAAUUGUAAUAUCAUAUAACUUUUUGGUAGUUAUUAUUUUCUAUAAUAGUUUGCUUUAAUUUGUUUAGUCAUAUAUAUCUUCCACAUAAAACAAUUCUUCAUAUGCAAAAUUCUAAUCUAGAUCAUUGUUUAAAGGGGAGUAGACAUGUUGAUGUUCCAUCUAUACCAUCUUUAUCAUCCACCCAUUAGUAUAGACUUGCUCUACCACACAAAUAUUGAAAUAAAAUUAAAAAUAGAUUAAAUUAUUUAUAUGCACAUAUUAUAUAAGAAUCAUUUAUAUUGUUAAUUUAUUAUGUAGUAGCUAUUGAACUCUUUAAUAUAAUAAUUCAUGUGAAAUAUUUAUAAUUGUUAUUGUAGAUAUUUAUACAUAUUCACUAUAUUAUUGUUUAUUCAUUUGUAUUAAUUUUUUGAAGAGUUAAUUAGUGAUAGUUAAUUAUUAAUUGUAAAUUAUACAAUAACAAUAUAUAAAACUCAUACACUUACAUUUUUAUCUCUAAUAAUACAAACAGAAGUAGAAAAUAAAUUUCAUUCUUUAGAAUCAUUUUACAAAAUACUGAGAAUUUUAUUGAGCUGACUGAAAGCAUUAACUAUAAGAGAUAUUCCAAUAAAUUACACAAGGUGGGUACAAUGGUUUAUGAAAACACAUUAUGCAGAGAGAUAAAAACAUAGCUAUAUCUAUAUAUAAAAAAGCUUUAUAAAUGGAGUGGAUAGCAUUCUAAGCAUAUAUAUAUGAAAUAUAUUUGUGACUAUGGGUUGUGUGGAGGGAAGAAGGGCUUCUUGCUAGGGAUAGGAAAUGAUUUAUGGAAUGGCUUCUUGAACAGUGGAAUAGGCUUAUGAAUAGGAAUUGGUUUAUAAACUGGAAUAGGCUUAUGAAUAGGAAUUGGUUUAUAAACUGGAAUAGGCUUAUGAAUAGGAAUUGGUUUAUAAACUGGAAUAGGCUUAUGAAUAGGAAUUGGUUUAUAAACUGGAAUAGGCUUAUAAAUUGGAAUUGGUUUAUACACUGGAAUAGGUUUAUAAACUGGAACAGGAAUAGGUUUUACGACUGGAUAUGGCUUUGGAAUAGGCUUAUAAAUUGGAAUAUGUUUCUUGUAAAAUGGCUUCUUGAAUAGUGGGAAUUUGUGAUGAAAAAGUCCUUUGAAUUUAGCUUCUUCAUCAUCAACUUUGGGGCUUGUCUUUGCAAUACCUUCGUUUACAAGCUUCCCAUCAGUAUUCACUUUAUCCCCAGCUGCAAAAUAAAUUCAAAAGAAUUACAUAAUUCAAAGACACAAUACUUCUAUGAUAAUUAUAAACUUGAGUUAUUCCACAAUAAUUAUUAUAUACUAUAUAUUUACGUGAGGGAGUGUGAGUAAUAUGAAGCAUGCACAAACCUGAAACUUGAGUUGCUGGUAGAGCUGAAGUAGCAUAACAGAAUGUGACAAUAAGCAACAAGGGAACACAGAAUCGCACAAGUGCAGAUGGCUUUCCCAUUGAGAAAACAAGGUAAGAUAUGACAAUUAUGAUAGGGGAAUGAAUACC
rnacentral:lncRNA from 1 species